AGUGAACGCUGGCGGCAGGCCUAACACAUGCAAGUCGAGCGGCAGCGCGGGGGCAACCCUGGCUGCGAGCGGCGGACGGGUGAGGAAUUCGUCGGAAUCUGCCUUUUUGUGGGGGAUAACGUCUGGAAACUUACGCUAAUACCGCAUACGUCCUACGGGAGAAAGUGGGGGACCGCAAGACCUCACGCGGAAAGAUGAGCCGACGACCGAUUAGCUAGUUGGUUGGGUAAAGGCCCACCAAGGCGGCGAUCGGUAGCUGGUCUGAGAGGAUGAUCGGCCACACUGGGACUGAGACACGGCCCAGAGUCCUACGGGAGGCAGCAGUGGGGAAUAUUGGACAAUGGGCGCAAGCAUGAUACAGCCAUGCCGCGUGUGUGAAGAAGGCCUUCGGGUUGUAAAGCACGUUUGUCCGGAAAGAAAUCCCUGGAGCUAAUACCUUCGGGGGAUGACGGUACCGGAAGAAUAAGCACCGGCUAACUUCGUG
rnacentral:rRNA from 1 species